UACGUAGGCAGCGAGCGUUGUUCGGAGUUACUGGGCGUAAAGCGUGCGUAGGCGGUGUCUUAAGUUUGUUGUGAAAUCUCCCGGCUCAACUGGGAGGGUGCGCCGGAUACUGAGGGGCUCGAGUGCGGGAAGGGAAAGUGGAAUUCCUGGUGUAGCGGUGAAAUGCGUAGAUAUCAGGAGGAACACCGGUGGUGCAAACGGCUUUCUGGACCGUAACUGACGCUGAGACACGAAAGCGUGGGGAGCAAACAGG
rnacentral:rRNA from 1 species